CUUUCCCACUCCCUCUCCCCUUCCAUUCACAUCAAGAUUCAUUUUUGAUUCUCUUUAUAUACAGAAGAUCAGUUUAGCAUACAUUAAGUAAAGAUUUCAACAGUUUGCACCCCCAUAGAAACACAAAGUGAAAUAUACUGUUUGAGUACUCGUUAUAGCAUUAAAUCUCAAUGUACAGCACAUUAAGGACAGAGAUCCUACAUGAGGAGUAAGUGCACAGUGACUCCUGUUGUUGACUUUACAAAUUGACACUCCUGUUUAUGGCAUCAGUAAUCUCCCUAUGCUCCAGUCAUGAGUUUCCAAGGCUAUGGAAGCCUUUUGAGUUCUCCGACUCUUAUCUUGUUUAGACAAGGUCAUAGUCAAAGUGGAGGUUCUCUCCUCCCUUCAGAGAAAGGUACCUCCUUCUUUGAUGACCUGUUCUAAGAAAAGAUUCUAAUAUGUGCCCGAGACAAAGACCAGAUUACCAUCAGAAAAAUCCUCAAUUAGACUAAUAGCUGAUUUAUCAUCAGAAACCCUGAUGGCUAAGAAAGAAUGGAGACAUAUAGCUUACUUCCUAAAUGAAAGAAACUUUCAACUCAGAAUACUGUAACCAGAAAAGCUCUCAUUUGUAAAAGAAGAUGAAAUUUUUAAAAACCGUUCAAAACAAAUGAAAAUGGGAAGAAUUUGUUACCACUGGCUUAACCUUACAAAUGUUCGUAAGUAUGUGCUACACACAGAAACAGAAAAUGAUAGUCAUCAUUAUGGAAAAAUGUGAAGGCAGAAAAUCUCCUAGUAAACGUACAAAGGAACUCCAAAGCAAACAAUAUGUAUAUUUCUGCAAAAAUGUUAGGACUAAGUCAUUACUUAUCAAUAAUAAGCUUGAAUGCAAAUCGCCUAAAUUUUAAGAUUAAAAGAGACGUACUGGAUGAAUGGAGUAAAAAACAAGACCUAUCUGUUUGCUGCCUAUAAGAAACACACCUCAGAAACAAAGAUGCACACAGACUGAAAGUGAAAUUAUGGAAAAAGAUAUUCCAUGCCAAUGGAAAGCAAAGAUGAGCAGGUGUAGCCAUCCUAAUAUCUGACAAAAUACACUUUAACACAAAGCUGUAAUAAGAGAUGAAGAAGUGAAUUAUGUAAUGAUUAAGUUAUGAAUUCAAAGGGGAGAUGUGACUAUAGUAAAUGUAUAUGUAAACAAUGCCAGGGGUCCUAGCAAUUUAAAACAAAUAUUAAUGGAUCUAAAGGGAGACAUAGACUGAAUUCUAUCAAACUUUUAAAGAAGUUAUUCCAAUUCUUAUCAAAUUAUUCAAAGCUAUUGAAAGGGAAAGAUUCCUACAAAACUCCUUCAAUGGGCUAUCAUUACCUUAAUUCAAUCAGAAAAAGAUACAAUCAAGAGAACUAUAGACCAAUAUCCCUGAUGAACACACAUGCAAAAACACUCAGCAAAAUACUACUGAUAAAAUAAAAUAACACAUCAGAAAGUUCAUUCACCCAGAUCAAGUGGAAGUUAACACUGAUAUGCAGGGAUGGCUCAAUAUAAGCAAAUCAGUAAAUAUGAUCCAUCACCUUAACAAAUUUGAAAAUAAAAACCAUAUGGUUAUCUCAAUAGAUUCAGAGAAAUUGUUUGAUAAAAUAUAACAUCUUUUCAUGAAAAAAUAAACUUAAGGAACACAAUCAAGGAAAUAUAUGACAAACCCACUGCUAGCAUCAUAUUGAAUGGGGAAAAAUUGGAAGCAUUUCCACUAGGAUCUGGAACCAGACAAGAAUGCCAACUCUCAACAUUUCUAUUCAAUUUAGUUCUAGAAGUUUUAGGCGGAGCCAUUAGGCAAGAAAAAUAAAUCAAAGGGAUACAAAUUGGAAAGGAGGAAAUCAAAGUAUUCCUGUUUGAAGAUAACAUGAUUCCAUAUGUAGGGGAACCAAAAUACUCCACUAGAAAAAUAUUCCAACUCAUACAAGAGUUUUGUAAAGUUUCAAGAUAUUAAAUCAGCACACAAAGAUCAAUUGCCUUAGUAUACACAAAGGAUACCAUGGCUAAAAAAGAACUUGUAAGAUCAGCCCCAAUCAUAACAGCUACAAAAAAAAAAAAAAAUUAAAUAGCUUGGGAUAAAUUUAACCAAGGGCGUGAAAAAUCUCUUCAGUGACAAUUAUGACACAUUAAAGAUAAAAUUUUAAAAGGACAGAAAAAAUGGAAAAAUCUUCCAUGUUCAUGGAUGGGAAAAAUUAAUAUCAUCAAAUGUCCAUAAUACCAGAAGCAGUGCAUAGGUUUAAUGCAAUUCCAAUCAAAAUAUCAAUGGCAUUCCUUCCACAUCUAGACAAAAUGAUGCUAAAAUUCAAAUGAAAGCAAAAGAGACCCUAAAUAGCUAAAGCAGUUUUAAAUAAUAAAAAAAAGCUGGAGGCAUCACAAUACCAGGCUUCAAGAUAUACUAUAGGGAAGUUAUAAUCAAAACAACUUAGUACUGGCACAAAAAUAUGCAUGUAGAACAAUGGAACAGAAUAGAACCCUUGGAAUUUAAUCCAUGCAUCUACAACAAACGAAUUUUUGACAAAGAAGCUGAAAUCAAUUCCUGAAGAACUGACAAUCUUUUCAACAAACAUUGCUGGGAAACUGGAUCUACACAGGAAGAAUUAUGAAUCAAGAACCCUACCUUGAACCUUAUAUAAAAAUCAAUUCAAAAUGGAUAAAUGAUCUAAAUCUAAGACCUGAUAGAAUCAAAUUGCUAGAGUAAAACAUCAGGGAAUUCCUGAAAUACAUUUGCAUAAGCAAAGAAUUCUUGAAAAAGAUCCCAGAAGCACAGUCAAUAAAGACAAAAAUAGGGAAAUGGGAUUACAUCAAGCUAGGAAGCUUCUCCACAGCAAAGGAAGCACUCAACAAAAUGAAGAUGCAACCAACAGAAUGGGAGAAAAUAUUUGGAAAAUAUGCUACUGAUAAAGGAUUAAUAUCCAGAAUGUAUAAACUGUUCAACAUAUUCAACAACAAAAUAAACAAUCUAAUUAGAAAUGGUCAAAGAACAUGAACAUACCAUUUUCAAAUGAUGAAGUAUAAAUGGCCAGGGCUGGAUAAAUGGCUAAGGCAGGCACUGUGGCUCAGCAGCUUAACGCCCUGUUUUGCAGCAUGCCAGCUUGAGUACUGGAUGCUCCACUUCCAAUCCAGCUCUCUGCUAUGGCCUGUGAGGGCAGUGGAGGUGGCCGAAGUCCCUGCAUCCUUGGGAGACCUGAAGGAAGCUCCUGACUCCUGGCUUCAGAUCAGCGCAUUGCAGCCAUCUGGGGAGUGAACCAGUGAAUGGAAUACCUCUCUGUCUGUCUGUCUGUCUCUCUCUCUCUUUCUCUCUCUCUCUGCCUCCAUCUCUCUGUAACUCUGCCUUUCAAAUGAAUAAAUAAACCUUUUUUAAAAAAAUACAAAUGGCCCACAGAUGCAUGAAAACAUGUUCAGGAUAACUAACCAUCAGGAAGUGGAAAUCAAAACAAUGAGGUUUCACCUCACCCCAGUUAUAUUGACUAUCAUCCAAAAAUCAAAACAUAGUAAAUACAAGUCAGUAUGUAUGAAAAAGUACCCCAGUUUACUGUUGGUGGUUAUUCAGACUAGUACAGCCAUUGUGGAAGAUGGUAUGAAAAUUCCUCAUGAAUCUGAAAAUAGAUCUACCAUAUGACCCAGCCAUCCCACUCCUGGGCAUUUACCCAAAUGAAAAGAAAACAGCAUAUGAAAGUUGCUGUACUCCCAUGUUCAUAGCAACUCAAUUCACAAUAGCUAAUACAUGAAAUCAAAUAUCCAUCAAAUGAAGACUGGAUAAAGGAAACACUUUAUAUAUGCAUGAUGGACUAUUACAUAGCCAUAAGAAAGAAUGAAGUCCCAUCUUUUGCAAUAGAAUUGAUGCAACUGCAAACAGUCAUGCUUAGUGAAAUAAGCCAACCUCAAAAUUGACAGCUCUUUUUAAAAGAAACCAGUUGGCACUUUAGAAAUAUUUCCUAGAAUUUUCAUUUCUGCAUUUAAAGGUAACUAAAUAGGUAUUUUCUGUUCCAAGCCAGUAUAGAUGAUAAUUUUGCCACUAAUAAUUCUGCAACUAAUGAGUCUAAAAACAGUGGCCUUCAUUUUUUGUUAUGAGAGGCUAAGCAUUUAGGCUAUUCCUUUUUUGUGAUUUGGUUGGGUUAGCCAAAACAUAAAAUGAAAGAAGUUACUAUUUUAGAUAAAAGCUAAAUUGAUUUUAUUUUCAGGGCCCUGGAUUUGAAGUAUAGCCAAUACCUCUUUUCACAAUAUUUUGGUCAGAAAUACAUUCUAGUUGUUUAUUAUGUACCCUCCUUAAUUUUAUUUGCUGUGGUCUGAUGACAUGGGUUUAUGUUGUCUCUUUGGCACAGUAUUAAUACUUUCAUCAUCAUCAUUCAAACUGUAGCAAAUAAAUCAGGAAAAAUGAAACAAAGGAAGAUGACUACUUUCUGUAUCAUUUUUCUGACAUUUAAUUUUCAUUAUCAGGAAUAAACACAUUUAAAUACAUCAGAACAUUUUUUACAAGAUGAAGAAAUGUAUCUUCUAUGAAGCCAUGGUUUGAGCCUUAUGUAUAUUUAGAUUUCCUAUUGCAUCAUUCUGUGUGGGUACAGGAUAACCAUUAUAUUCGUGUGUUCUAUUCAACUCUGCCUCUCUCUGUAUCCCUAGGAGUAUCUUACACUCAUAAGUAUGUUAUAAUAGCUCCCAUUAAAAGAACCACGUAGCUGAGAAGUCCCAGAAUAAAUACAUGAAGGACUUUAACAACAUUACAAGAGAUACAUAAAAAUUCAAUACAGCAAGCUAAAAGAAGUAUAAGAUAACACAUGCUCAACAAAUUUUUUGUUUAGUUGAGCGAACAGAAUUAUAAGAGUGAUAAAGGAAGAAUGCUAAGUUCCUUUUUUCGUAGAUUUCCCAAAGCAAUAGGAAGCGCAGCAAACAAAGCCCUUCUAAAAAAAAUCCUAGAAUAUUUAUUUUAAGAAUUGAAAGCACACAGGAAUGCAGAGAGCAGGUUGUAGAAAUUGUGAGGCUGCUUGAUUUUUGUCUAGAUGUUUGCCACUGUAUAAUUUAUCUUUCAGGGAGUUGGCAUCCUGAUGAAUUCUUACUGAAGGAAUGAAGUGUUUUGAGAUAAGUUCACAGAAACUGAAAUAUCAUUGUCAUUCCUAGUCCACAAGAGGGUUGUGGGCCAGUGACUAUGACAGGCUUCAUGAUAUUGUUGAAAUAUUAAUCUGAAACUACUUGCUCCAAUAUUUCACCACGCAUGCUUCACUCUAUGGUAUGUGGCUUUCUGCAGCAGAGCAGCACAGGCUAAACCGAGGAGAAGUGAGUGUGUCUAGGAGAAGUUUGUACCAGGUUUCAUGCCAUGAACUAUGUUGGCCAAGAAAGUGGUAGAAGGUGGACCAUGGUUUGCUUGACCUUACUGGAUUGACAAGGCACACCGUGCUCUAAAGGCCAUCAGCAGGGAGCUGGAUUGGAAGCAGAUCAGCUGGGACACAAACUGGCACGCAUAUCGGAUUGCCUGCAUCACAGGUAGCAGCUUACCUGCUGUGCCACAAUGCCAACCCUAAAUACAGGUGUACUUUUAUACCACUGUUGACUCUGAUUGUAUAUAUGUCUGGAAUCCUACCUAUGGUGUGGUUCUCAUAGACUUACCCUGGCUCAAAAGGAAAGAGUAAGGUUUGAAGAAAAGCUUCCAAGCAACCAUUCUGCAAGUACAUGCAAGCUGUAUAAGAAAGAAAUAGCUUUUUAGACUUCAACAAGUAGUAGCAUUUGUGAUUUGGUGAGCAAAGAGGAAUCUCAAAUUUCCUUCAACCAUUGAUUCACCACAACUGAACUGAGGGGUUUUUGUUUGUGGUGUUUUGUUUGCUUGGCUACAUAUGUGUUUUUCAAGGACAAAUUCUUACUCAUGGGUGAUAGAGGUAUUUUUGGAAGAAUAUUCUAGGUUACUUUCAUGACUGAACUGGCCAAGUUACUAUUUAGCAAACUCUGUUGCUUAUGGAAGCACUGAAAUUUUAUGGCUGAUAUAGUUACAUGGCUUUGCAUUUGCUCAUCUUAGACUGGUUUACAGAAUAAACUAGAACAGUCUUCUAAAAAACAUUGUACAAAAGAGCUUGUAUAAAUUACAUCCCCUUAGGCCGGCAUGGCGGCUCAACAGGCUAAUCCUCUGCCUAGCGGCGCCGGCACAUGGUGUUCUAGUCCUGGUUGGGGCGCCGGAUUCUGUCCCAAUUGCCCCUCUUCCAGGCCAGCUCUCUGCUGUGGCCCAGGAGUGCAGUGGAGGACGGCCCAAGUGCUUGGGCCCUGCACCCCAUGGGAGACCAGGAGAAGCACCUGGCCCCUGGCUUCGGAUCAGUGCAGUGCGCCGGCCACAGUGCGCCGGCUGCGGCGGCCAUUGGAGGGUGAACCAACGGCAAAGGAAGACCUUUCUCUCUGUCUCUCUCUCUCUCUCUCACUGUCCACUCUGUCAAAAAGAAAUAAAAAUUACAUCCCCUUAGAGAUUUAAUUAUUGUUGAGUAACUGCUUUCUUCAAAAUGGUCUCAUCACAGUUUUACAGACUGUAUUUUUUCCUUGAAGUUCAUAUAAUCAUGUGCCAAUUAGUGAUUGGAUACAUUCUGAGAAAGGUAUUUUAGGCAAUUUUGUCACUCUGUAAGCAUCACAAAAUGUACUUGCACAAGCUAAGAAGGCUGUGAUGUCACCAAAUGCUCUAAUGUUAUGGAACAACAUUCUUACAUGUGUGUGGUCCAUCGCUGGCUGUACAGGCAUUAUGUGCUAUAUGGCUAUAUUGAUAUUAGAAGUAAAAAUGUUUACUAUUUUAUAGCUAUAACUAUUAUCUUUUCAGUACUCAUUUUAUUAGUUAUUGACUACCUGGACUUUGAAAGUGUUAAUUAGUUUGACAUGGAUUUUAAAGGAAUCUGAAGAUGACAUCAUCUUUCCAAAAAAGCUGUAUACUUGAAUUAAUUUAGAUUUUUAAAAAUAAUGUGCAAUUUUGAAGUCUCUUUUCCUCCUUAAAAUCUCCAUCUGGGGCCCGGCAUUGCGGCGCAGUGGGUUAAUCCUCUGCCUGCGGCACCAGCAUCCCAUAUGUGUGCUGGUUCUAGUCCCGGCUAUUCUUCUUCCAGUCCAGCUCUCUGCUGUGACCCAGGAGAGCAGUGGAGGAUGGCCCAGGUUCUUGGGCCCCUGCACCUGCAUGGGAGACUGGGAGGAAGCUCCUAGCUCCUGGCUGCGGAUCGGCAUAGCUCCAGCCGUUGCAGGCAUUUAGGGAGUGAACCAACGGAAGAAAGACCUUUCUCUCUGUCUCUCCUUCUCACUGUCUGUACCUCUCAAAUAAAUAAAAUCUUUGAAAGAAAAAUCUUCAUCUGAACUUUGUAACAGCAGCUGGAGAUCUUGACGGUAAUUGUUGUCAGGCAUUUGAAUAAUUUUAGGCUUAGAAAAGAUUUUAAAGAUCAGUUAAUCCAAACCUUUUGUAUUAGUUUAUCUUAUAUUAUUUUCUAGUUUCAUUUAAAAAUAACCCUUUUGAAGCAGGCAUUCUGGUGUAGAAGGUAAAGCUACCAGCUGUGAUGCCAGCAUCCCAAAUGGUCACCAAUUCAAGUUCUAGCUCCCUGUUAAUGGCCUGGGAAAAGCAGUAGAAAAUGACCCAAGUGCUUGGGCUCCUGCUCCCCACGUAGGAGGCCUGGAAGAAUCUCCUGGCUGCUGGCUUUGGCCUGGCUCAGCUCUGGCCAUGCGCCCAUCUGUGGAGUGAAGCAGCAGAUGGAAGAUAGCCCUCUCUUUCGUGCUCUCUCUGGCUUUCCUUCUUUUUGUAACUCUUUCAAAUAAAUAAAUAAAUCGUGUGUGUGUGUGUGUGUGUGUGUGUAUUCAGUUUCCACACAUAGAAACAUCUUACACAGCCACCAUACAAUUUUUUUUUUUUUACAGGCAGAGUGGACAGUGAAAGAGAGAGACAGAGAGAAAGGUCUUCCUUUGCCGUUGGUUCACCCUCUAAUGGCCGCAGUGGCCAGCGCACCAUGCUGAUCCGAUGGCAGGAGCCAGGUGCUUCUCCUGGUCUCCCAUGGGGUGCAGGGCCCAAGCACUUGGGCCAUCCUCCACUGCACUCCUGGACCACAGCAGAGAGCUGGCCUGGAAGAGGGGCAACCGGGACAGAAUCCGGCGCCCCAACCAGGACUAGAACCUGUUUUACCGGCGCCGCUAGGCAGAGGGUUAGCCUGUUGAGCCGCGGCACCGGCGCCACCAUACAAUUUUAAAACUAGAAAAUUAAAAAUGCUGUGAUAGGAUCAACUAUUUCACAGGUCUUACUCCAUUGGACCCACUAAUAUUAUUUUUCUGGUCUAGAAUCCAAUUCAGAUCAUGGGAUUUGGUUUCUGGUCUCCUAAAUCAACUUCAGUCUGUGACAAUUCCUCAGUCUGUCUUUCACAGUACUGACACUUUUAAAGAGCACUGGUUCCUUCUCUGGCAAAAAAUCCCUCAGUUGCAGCCCAUUCAUUUUCAAGAUGAUCCCCUAGGAGCCCCAGCAAAUCAGCGUGAGCACCUUGUUCACAAGUUCAAGACUGUUUUCCUCUCAGAAUUUCCAGAGGAUCACUAGCUGCUUCAAGGGGCUUGGGGGGGGGGGGGUGUUGAUAGGGAUAGAAGAGUUCUAUAGCUAAUACCAUACAGGUAGAUUACAGAUCUCCUGCAGUCGGGUUUUGUACUGAGCUCCAAGAUGACGGUGGCAUGCACAAACUAAAAACCAAAAGCUAGGAGUUUGUAGCCUGUGUCCACAAAACAUUAUAACCUGACUAGCAGCAAAGUGGUAGCAACGUGCUCUUUGAGAUAGGAUUUUUUUCCAAGACUGGUGUUAGACACAGAGUUCUGUAGAAGGUCAACAAAGAGUGGCAACUGAUGGGGAAAUCAAAACAAAGCUACCCCCCCCCCCCCGCACAUAAACAGAUGAUGAUGAUGAUCUUAUAUUUUUCCCACACACUACCCAACCCCCAUCCCCGGUGUGUUUCCCUAAAGCAAGACACCUUGUGCUGUGGUUUAGCAGAUCCGAGUGCCUAUACCCAGGGACCAGAGCUAACAGCAGAGCUCCCUCUACCCCUGGCCUCCCCGGGAUGCUGGCGAGUCCACGGGGAGAGGCAGACAGCAGGAGAGGCAGGCAGGCUCCGUGGCGCGUGCAGACAGACCCCAGUCUGCAGCCGCCCGCAGCGGUGGGGAGAGGAGGACGCUGAGGCAGCACCCCCUCCCCUCACCCCCACCCCAAGUUCACAGCCCAGGCCCGGGCUCCGCGGGCUGCGCAAGGGUCCCGGAGACUCCGGCUCCAGCCCGCUGGGCGGCGCCGCGCUCUGCCCCAGCUGCCUGGUGCCGCCUCCGCCGGCAGCGGCGAGGCCCACGUGGAAUGCAGCUGGGGUCCUGAGCGCCUCUCCCUCCACACUCCCGGCACCGCACCGGAAAAGUUCGCCCUGGCGGGAGCUCCGCCGCAGCGGUGAGCUCACUCCUUGUGGACAGCGCGGGGCUCCCUGAGUCUUCGGUUCCCCCUGUUCCCGGCGGCACAGUGGCCGGGACCCAAGGGGACUCGCAGCACCCCGUAGUUUGAAUGCCGGGCUCCGGCUUAUCUGCGCUCCGACAGCACCUCCGGCUCUGAGCGGUGCGAGAGGUGAGCGGAAGCAGAACAGCAGUGGAAGCCUCUGGGGAAUGCAGGGCGACGGGAGCCUGGAACUUAGGAGCAAAAAUAAUAAGAAAAAGCCGCGUCCUCCGGACCAGGAGCUGAGACAGACAAACAGCAGGGUGUCGGUGACAAGGAAGCCUGCACACAGAGACCUCAUCCCUCAGGGGGCUGACCACCCGGGCAACCUCUGGGGACUUUGGAGAAUGAUCCUCUGCCUUCAAACUUGUCAUGGUGAUUGUGGAGAAGUGACAUGGACAAGGCAAAGAAGAGACUCCAUGGAACACCUUGGUGACUCCUGGGGAGCACGGCUCUGCCUCUGCCAAGAUUAAAUGCACGCGAGAGUCCAAAGAUGCCAUGUUACACUUUGCAAGGACCCAUCAGGUGUGCAUUAGACCGAAAAGCAACAGUCCAAGCAGUAGUCACAGAACUCCUUUUCAAAGGAAAAUCUAUGUGAGUCCAGAACAUGGAAUAUAGAAUAUGAUCUCCACGUCCACGUUGGGAUGCAAGCCCCACACUUUGCCUGCUUUCUCCCUGACAGAAGGCUCUCUUAAUUUGGAUUUUAUAAGCUAUGGAAAGCAUUUUGCUCACCCUGCUAAUUUGGUUUUAUCUGCAUUGUAUCCUUGAAUGCAAUUUGUGCAACACUCCCAUGAGAGUAAUGGAAUGAUGCCUAGUUUAUAAAUAUAGAAAUGGAAUUUCAGAGAAGAAAAGAAAAUUGGUUAAGUUUUACAGAUAAUGUAGAUAAUUAAUUGUGGAUCUAUGAUUUGAAGAUGGGUACAUAGAUAAACUGGUGCACCUAACGUUUGCAUUAUAAUAAGAAUGUGUGAUCUUGUCACUUCAAGAAGUAUGGUCACUGAUUGGAAAAGAAAGCCCCUUUCAAUAGGCUGAGCGUGUCUUAACACAGAGUAAUGCCAAUUCACAGUCUUUUGCAGGAGAGGAAUAGUCUCUCAUUUUCUUGUUUUAUAGGGACAUCUAUCCCCAGCCCACAGUUUAUGAGCAACAUUUUGUCAGCAGGCAGGAGUGGUGGCUCCCUCUAAUUAAUCCUCUUCUCACCCCACACCUCUGAGAGUGAGAAAUGAAAAGCAGUUAAAGGGAGUACAGUUACAACCCACAAAGGGACCACACAAAAUGUCAUCUUAGGGCGCAACACAUUGCUCCCUUCAUCCGUCCUAGUCCUGAGUUUCCAUCUCUUCAGGGCAGACAGGGUUUCUGGCUGGCUGAGAGAUUCGUUAGCAGCAAACUCUGUGAUAGUAGACAAAACUGUACUCUAAGUUAAAGUCUAUGUGUCAGCAGCUUUUCCUCAUUCUAUACGUGUUACACUGAAGACAGAGAAAGGCAUGGAGAAGAGAGGAAUUAUUGUUGAAAUUGAGGGCAGAGAGUUGAAACAUAACUCCAGCAUAUCCACACAACAAUUUAGGGUUAAAGUACUUAAUCAUUCUGGGCCUCCUGCAAUGUAGGGAUCUGAUACGUGUCUCCCAGUUAGGUGAAUUAAUGAUAGGUGCUGAAUAGCCUAGUACCUGCUACACAGUCAAUUUUCAAGGCUAAUAAUAAUAUAAAUUGAAAGCAACUAAACCACUUCUAUGAGGGAACUAAUUUUUUGCAAUGAAAUAAACUUUUUAUUUUGUUUUCCCAUAAACUUCUUGAAGGACCCUAUUUCUGUCUUCCCAUAUAUAAGUUAUAAAGCGCAUUCACAUCAGAACAGUUCAUCCUCACAAUGAUCAGUUAAGGCAGUCAGGCACUCUUAAUUCUUUUCCCGAAUGUCUCAUGAGUUGAAUGGCUGGCUUGUUCAGAUUCAGUAGAGGGCUCUGUUCUCCACAGCAGUGUUACCUGGAAGGGCACAGUAGCCCUUCCAGCCCUGGAACAGGCUGGAUGAUUUUGUGAGGAACACCCUCAAAACAUAGGCCCUUGGGGUCUCCUACAUAAGACAUAUGGCUUUUAUAGACCCGAGACUUAACACCAACCCUGCAGUGCAUGGUAGGCACCUCUACAAAAUCUCAAUCUUGUUUCACUGCUUUGAUAAAUUUCAGAGUGUUGAUGCUAUUGACUUUUCUGUUCUUUUAAAACAUAGGGCAACACUGUCUCUGUAUAAUAAGCAAUUAAAGUUUCUCUUCCUCUAAGAAUCAAGAAAAUAAAUUAUGGGGAGGGUUGGUGCAAGUCCAAGCCUUGGGUUUGACUUUUCUAAUGGGGUAAAAGCUAGGAAAUUCCAUGAUAUAGUUUUUUUUUUUUUUUUAAAGAUGCACUACUUUAUUGAAAGUCAGAGUUACAGAGACAGGUGGGGGGUGGGGGAGAGAUCUUCACCACUGGUUCACUCCUUAAGAGGCCCCAAUGGCCAGGGCUGAGCCAGGUCAAAGCCAGGAGCAUAGAACUCCAUCGGGGUCUCCCACAUGGGUGCAGGGGUCCAAGCACUUGGCCCAUCUUGCCAGGUGAAUUAGCAGGAAGCUGGACUGGAAGCGGAGCAACCAGGACUCCAGUGAUCGUAUGGGAUGCUGGCACUGUAGACUGUGGCUUAACCCACUGUACCACAACCUGCCAGCCCCCUGCCGCAGAAAGUUUUAACUGAUUCAUUUUAAAAUCAGAACACACACUUCUAGGAUAGUAGCUAGUAUUCACUCAUUGUUACUUCUUUAUUCUUCCCCUCUAGGGGCUGUUGUUACCUCCCAAGGCUCUACCUGAAACAGCAGUCAGACCUGGGGUCUGCAUCUUCCUCCCUGCUCUGGGGUUACAGAGACCCCAGGAGAGCCCAAGACCCUUCUGGGGCACCAGUGACAUGUAACCCCUCCUCCCCUCUGCCCCGCCUCUCCUCCCGCACUAAGGCAUGUCUGCCCUGGCUGUGGACCUGGUUCUUCUGUAGCCAUGGAGCCUCCCGAAUUUAUUGAAUUAGCUAGAAUUUUGUGUUCUCCCUCUAGGAUCUGGACUUUUGAAAUACUGAACACAGGAUGGCCACCCUGGCUGCUUGGGAGAGUUAGAGGACCAGUGUCCUAGGUCAAUGCAAGGACGAGAGAGCCAUCAGUUCUUCAACUCCCUUUCUGCCAAGUUUCACCGUGCCAUCCCCACGUGUCUGUGCAUCACUGGUGCUCUCUCAUGGGUUUGUAGUCUCAGGGAACAAGCCCUAGGGUGUGCAGGGCAGGGGCCGAGGGCAUGCACUGUCCUCUCCAAGCCUCACAGGGGCUCUGCAGGACAGAAGUCAGCACUUGUACGGCAGAUGCAGAAGUAAACACAUCUCGCAGAGAUCGCAGAGUGAUGGCCAAGAGCUGGCAUUCUCCAUCCCAUGUCUGUCUGACUCCAAAUUCAAAGCUUGUGCCAAGAGCUCUUCUGCGAAUUCACUUGUUUUGAACUUCCUGCCGUGAAGCGAGAAUUUGUCUUUGUGACUGUAUCUGCCUUGUUCAAGUGGGACUCCGAGAAUGCUCCCCAUCUCGAGUCUGAAGGCUAAAUUCCUCAUCGGGUUCUCUAGAUGAUUUUGAUUUUGAGCUCAUGCUCCCAGGAGCUGGGCCCCGUGACACCUUUCAGAUGAUGCAUCCAUGGAGAUUUCUUAAUUUUCAAACACUCUUUCAUAAAGAUGACUGUCUUAUGGUGUGCGACAGUGGCCUUGGAAAGACUGUGCUGCUGGGUCCAGAGGGCUGCUCAGGUCGUCCAGUGGAAUGGGCUGGAAGCUUUGUCUGACGACCAUUUGGAGUUUGACAGCUUUUAUUAUCACAGUGGAGAGUCCUGCAGAACGGUAGUAACUUCCCUUCUCAAGAUGUCUUCUCAAAGUCCCUUUGUGGUCGCCAAAAAUGUUACCGGAGAAAUUGCAGGGUUCUUGUCUUUGCGCAAGAAAGAAUUCAGGCGUGAGACAGAGAGUAGUGGGAGGUAAAAUAGCAAGGUUUAUUAGGGAAGGGACAUCUGUAAGGAUGGAUGGGCACCUCUCCAGACAGAGCCUGAGAGACUGAGGGGCGGGGGGAGUGAGGUUACAUGAUUGAGUAGAGAGAUUACACCUGACCAGGCCAGGUGGGCGGCUCAGCAGAGAGGCAGAGGGCUGAGCACCUCCAUGAUAUAGUUUUAUGUGUCUCCAGAAAGUUACAGAAAGAGCUUAGGGAUUCAGAGAAGGUGUGGUGGUUGGGAGUAGAUGGGGAGAGUCACAGUAAAAAUGCAGAUAUCUUUCUCUAGUGUUCCAGUCCAUCUGCUAACUGGAGGAAAAUAAAGAAAAUGAUGCAAGUUUUUAUUCUCUUACAGAAAGUGUAAAAAGAAAUGGGCAGGAGGGAGGGGCAGGCACUCAGUCUAGUGUUGAAGAUGCUGGUUGGGACACCUGAACGCCUGGGUUCAAAUCCCAGCUCUGCUCUUGCUUCCAGCUUCUACCAAUGUGCACACUGGGAGGCAGCAGGUAAUUGGGUUCCUGUCAUUCACACGGGAGACCUGAAUCAAAUUCUCAGCUCUUGGCUUCCACGUCUCCCAAUCUAGCUAUUGCUGGCAUUUGUACAGCGAGUUAGUGAAUAGAAGCUCUGUAUCUGUUCCUGUCACUCAUUCUUUCUCUUUCUCAUUGCCCUUCAAAUAAAUAAAUACAGAACCAGGAGAUAAGUGAAAUAUGAGUAACUGGGUCAGCGUUACCAUUGUGAGCCUUGUAUUCAUAGGUUGCCAAUUUGGAAAACUCAGGAAGUACAUAGUAUUUUUUUAAAAUCCCUAAGCCAUGUUUAUCUACUACAGGAGAGAACGAUCCAACAUGAGAAGCAGGAUACACAGCAGACUCUUAGAAUGGCAGAUGUCCUAAACAGCACUCUGGCCUCAGAAUCAGCCCUUAAGGCAUUCAGAUCUGGCUAAAAAGCCCAUGAAAAUAUUUCAGGCAUGGAAAGCCAAGACACUCUGGAAAAAAAAAAAAAAAAAAAAUACCUAAAUGAAAGAUCUCUGUGAGUGAGAUCCCAGUGGAAAGAAUGCACCAUCAAAGGAGGAGGUACCUUUCUCUGAAGGGAGGAGAGAACUUCCACUUUGACUAUGACCUUGUCUAAAUAAGAUCGGAGUUGGUGAACUCAAAAGGCUUUCAUAUCCUUGGCAACUCAUGACAAGAGCCUAGGGUGAUUACUGACACCAUAAACAAGAGUGUCAAUUGUUAAAUCAACAAUGGGAGUCAUUGUGCACUUAUUCCUCAUGUAGGAUCUCUGUCCUUAAUGUGUUGUACAAUGUGAAUUAAUGCUAUAACUAGUACUCAAACAGUACUUUACACUUUGUGUGUCUGUGUGGGUGCAAACUGUUGAAAUCUUUACUUAAUAUAUGCUAAAUUGAUCUUCUGUAUAUAAAGAGAAUUGAAAAUAAAUCUUAAUAUGAAUGGGAUGGGAGAGGGAGCAGGA